AUUGCACAAUGGGGGAAACCCUGAUGCAGCGACGCCGCGCGAGUGAAGAAGAAUUUCGGUAUGUAAAGCUCUAUCAGCAGGGAAGAAAAUGACGGUACCUGUUUAAGAAGCCCCGGCUAAUUACGUGCCAGCAGCCGCGGUAAUACGUAGGGGGCAAGCGUUAUCCGGAUUUACUGGGUGUAAAGGGAGCGCAGGGGGCACGGCAAGCCUGAUGUGAAAGCCCGCGGCCCAACCGCGGGACUGCAUUGGGAACUACCGGGCUGGAGUGCCGGAGAGGUAGGCGGAAUUCCUAGUGUAGCGGUGAAAUGCGUAGAUAUUAGGAGGAACACCAGUGGCGAAGGCGGCCUACUGGACGGUGACUGACGCUGAGGCUCGAAAGCGUGGGGAGCAAACAGGA
rnacentral:rRNA from 1 species